UUCUUUUUUUAUUAAGACUUAAACUGUAGCAAAAUCCACAAGCAGAUCUUCCUACCAUUCAUCUCUCAGAGAUAACUAAACAAGAAAUAAUUUUCUCUCACCAAAAUCAAAAACCCAAAACCAAAACCAUCUGUAUGAUUUUUGUUUGACAAAAAAAAAUCAUCAUCAGUAACAAAGACAGCAACAAAUUUCUUCCCAUUAAAAACCCACAAAAUAAUUCCUCCCAUAAACAUAGAAUCUCCGUCAAAUCUUUAGGGCAUGUUCUUCGGUCAAUUUUGAUUACCCAGUCGAAUCUAACCCCAGAUUAAUGCUCAGUAUGUUGUAAUCUACAUCAACCAUAAAAUGUUUUUGUAGUCAAACCAUUUACAUAUCAAUUUUUUGUUCAAAUGGAGGAAAUUAGAUUUCAUCCGAUCGUAACUGUAGAAAUUCAUGAAUCUGAUAAUUAGGCGUGAGUUUUGGUUCGUCUGAAGGAUUUGGACGUUUGGGUAUCCAUCAGAAACUGAAAUAAUCACCAGUUUGGCCAUUCUGAAUUGAUUCUAGUUAUUCGUUGCAGAGGAUCUUACCAAGGUAUUGGAAAUGGAUUUGGCAAUAUGUUGGUUCUUCAUUACCUUAGGGAGUGAAAUGGUUGAAGUAUCAUGAGGAACGAGGAAGUAUUAACCUAAAUGGUACUCUUACGGUUGAAGUAAGAUGACCAGGAGGUGAGACUGUCAUAGUGAAAUUAUUCGAAUGGUGGACGAAGCACAGGGCAAGGAAGCGGCUGGCUGAUAAGGAUUUCUCUCUUGCUUGCUCAUAAUCUGCCUUCAUUAAUUACCACCGACUUCUGAAGGUAUGAACUCAGACAGAUUGCACUGUUGCAGCAUAAGAAGAUGGUGAUGCUAAACCAACCACCAAGGAAGAAUAUUGUAGCUACACUGGAAGAAACCAAAACUUCAUCACGAAACAAGACCCUGAGAUGCUGGAAACCUUCAGACUUUGCGCCUGCAGUAAAAUAAGCAGUCCGGUAGUCGAACAAGUUGCAGGGAAACUAACCAUCUUGGACUUGAGUGGUUGAGAAAAUUAGCGUUCCUUCUCUGGAAGUGAUUGGCAAGGGUUGUAAAUUCCUUGCAGGGUUAUGGCCAUGCGUCCACUUGAGGUUGUAGACAAAGAUUCCCAAGAUGAUGAGAAACCGUAGUGGCAAACAUGAAAUACAUUGAAAUGAGAUCAUCUCAAACUGUAAGUGGUUGGACGAAUUGUAAACAAAGGCAGUUGCUGGGAUAUGGAUAAUUGCUAGUAUUAUUCAGGCUCUAAUUUUUAUGGCUUGGGAUUUUGUCAUUGGUGGAAUUGCAGAUGACCACGAUUCAAGUUCAUAUGAUGAACAAAGACCCUCAAGAACUUGAAAUCAUUGCUACUCUUGUUUCUACUGCCAGUCUACUUGGUAUAUAUUACUACUAGUUAUUAUGAGUUUGCAUUUCUUUUCUGCUUGGAACUUUUAUCUUGCUCAAACAGAUGUAUUUUCAGUAAAGAAUGAUCUAUAUAAAAGUUGCAUCUUCUGUA